GGGGCUGAUUCUGGAUUCGACGGGAUUUGCGAAACCCAAGGUGCAUGCCGAGGGGCGGUUGGCCUCGUAAAAAGCCGCAAAAAAUAGUCGCAAACGACGAAAACUACGCUUUAGCAGCUUAAUAAGCUGCUUAGAGCCCUCUCUCCCUAGCCUCCGCUCUUAGGACGGGGAUCAAGAGAGGUCAAACCCAAAAGAGAUCGCGUGGAAGCCCUGCCUGGGGUUGAAGCGUUAAAACUUAAUCAGGCUAGUUUGUUAGUGGCGUGUCCGUCCGCAGCUGGCAAGCGAAUGUAAAGACUGACUAAGCAUGUAGUACCGAGGAUGUAGGAAUUUCGGACGCGGGUUCAACUCCCGCCAGCUCCACCA
rnacentral:tmRNA from 1 species